rnacentral:rRNA from 1 species
UUCUGACCGUAAACGAUGCCAACUAGCGAUCCGCCGGUGGCUUUUUGGCCCUGGUGGGGAGCUUCCCGGAAACGAAAGUCUUCCGGUUCCGGGGGAAGUAUGGUUGCAAAGCUGAAACUUAAAGGAAUUGACGGAAGGGCACCACCAGGAGUGGAGCCUGCGGCUUAAUUUGACUCAACACGGGAAAACUCACCCGGCCCGGACACCGUGAGGAUUGACAGAUUGAUAGCUUUUUCAUGAUUCGGUGGUUGGUGGUGCAUGGCCGUUCUUAGUUCGUGGAUCGAUUUGUCUGGUUUAUUCCGAUAACGAGCGAGACUCCAGCCUAUUAACUAGUGCGGGCAUUGCUUCUGUGCUUGUCACUUCUUAGAGGGAUUGGCUGCGUCUAGCGGCACGAAACGGAGCAAUAACAGGUCUGUGAUGCCCUUAGAUGUCCGGGGCUGCACGCGCGCUACACUGGCAAAAGCAACGUGCUUGUCCGCCUCCGAAAGGAGCCGGUAAACCCUUAAAAAUUUGCCGUGAUUGGGAUCGGAAAUUGCAAUUAUUUUCCGUGAACGAGGAAUUCCUAGUAAGUGCGAGUCAUCAGCUCGCGUUG